AACGAACGCUGGCGGCAUGCCUAACACAUGCAAGUCGAACGAGACCUUCGGGUCUAGUGGCGCACGGGUGCGUAACGCGUGGGAAUCUGCCCCUUGGUUCGGAAUAACAGCGAGAAAUUGCUGCUAAUACCGGAUAAUGACGUAAGUCCAAAGAUUUAUCGCCAAGGGAUGAGCCCGCGUAGGAUUAGCUAGUUGGUGUGGUAAAGGCGCACCAAGGCGACGAUCCUUAGCUGGUCUGAGAGGAUGAUCAGCCACACUGGGACUGAGACACGGCCCAGACUCCUACGGGAGGCAGCAGUGGGGAAUAUUGGACAAUGGGCGAAAGCCUGAUCCAGCAAUGCCGCGUGAGUGAUGAAGGCCUUAGGUGUAAAGCUCUUUACCCGGGAUGAUAAUGACAGUACCGGGAGAAUAAGCUCCGGCGUAACUCCGUGCCAGCAGCCGCGGUAAUGUGACUACUG
rnacentral:rRNA from 1 species